GGAGGGUCCAAGCGUUAUCCGGAAUCAUUGGGUUUAAAGGGUCCGUAGGCGGUUUUGUAAGUCAGUGGUGAAAGCCCAUCGCUCAACGGUGGAACGGCCAUUGAUACUGCAAGACUUGAAUUAUUAGGAAGUAACUAGAAUAUGUAGUGUAGCGGUGAAAUGCUUAGAUAUUACAUGGAAUACCAAUUGCGAAGGCAGGUUACUACUAAUAUAUUGACGCUGAUGGACGAAAGCGUGGGGAGCGAACAGGAUUAGAUACCCUGGUAGUCCACGCCGUAAACGAUGGAUACUAGCUGUUCGGAGCAAUCUGAGUGGCUAAGCGAAAGUGAUAAGUAUCCCACCUGGGGAGUACGUUCGCAAGAAUG
rnacentral:rRNA from 1 species